rnacentral:rRNA from 1 species
UCGGAUUGUAGGCUGCAACCCGCCUGCAUGAAGUUGGAAUUGCUAGUAAUCGCGGAUCAGCAUGCCGCGGUGAAUACGUUCCCGGGGAUUGUACACACCGCCCGUCACACCAUGAGAGUCGGGAACACCCAAAGUCCGUAGUCUAACCGCAAGGAGGACGCGGCCUAAGGUGGGUUCGAUAAUUGGGGUGAAGUCGUAACAAGGUACC